GAAAUAAAUAGUGAUGGAAUAGUGAAUGAGGUACUGUCUUGACUCUAAAGUGCAGUCUCAUUCUUGUCCAUUCCUUUCUAUUUAUCCAAAGCAAUUAGUCCCUAUGAUCAAGCAUGAGAAGUUUUGAUAUUGUUGACAUUCCUUCUUCGGUUAUACUUGGAGUAUGUCGCCCCAUCCGGGUCUAUAUUAAGUCAUCCAUGUUCUUAUUUAUUCCUACAUAUAUCAUCUGUUGUUAUGACUUCUAUUUUUUUAUAGUUAAGCUGCUAUGUCGCAUCAUUAAGAGAGUUUUUUUUUUUAAAGAAGAGCCCUCACAAAUUAUCUACCUAAUUCAU
rnacentral:misc_RNA from 1 species